UACCUAUGGGACGCAGCAGUGGGGAAUAUUGCACAAUGGGGGAAACCCUGAUGCAGCAACGCCGCGUGAGUGAGGAAGUAUUUCGGUAUGUAAAGCUCUAUCAGCAGGGAAUAGAAAAGAAGGUACCUGAAAAAGAAGCCCCGGCUAACUACGUGCCAGCAGCCGCGGUAAUACGUAGGGGGCAAGCGUUAUCCGGAUUUACUGGGUGUAAAGGGAGCGUAGACGGAAAGGCAAGUCAGAAGUGAAAACCCAAGGCUCAACCAUGGAACUGCUUGUGAUACUGUCAGACUAGAGUACGGAAGAGG
rnacentral:rRNA from 1 species